rnacentral:rRNA from 1 species
UACGGGGGGAGCAAGCGUUGUUCGGAUUUACUGGGCGUAAAGGGCGCGUAGGCGGCCAGCACAAGUCAGUUGUGAAAUCUCCGAGCUUAACUCGGAAAGGUCAACUGAUACUGCGGGGCUAGAGUGCGGAAGGGGCAACUGGAAUUCUUGGUGUAGCGGUGAAAUGCGUAGAUAUCAAGAGGAACGCCUGCGGCGAAGGCGGGUUGCUGGGCCGACACUGACGCUGAGGCGCGAAAGCUAGGGGAGCGAACGGG